GUGCUUGCACUGGUCAAUCUAGUGGCGAACGGGUGAGUAACACGUGGGUAACCUGCCCAUCAGAGGGGGAUAACAUUCGGAAACGGAUGCUAAAACCGCAUAGGUCUUCGAACCGCAUGGUUUGAAGAGGAAAAGAGGCGCAAGCUUCUGCUGAUGGAUGGACCCGCGGUGCAUUAGCUAGUUGGUGAGGUAACGGCUCACCAAGGCCGUGAUGCAUAGCCGACCUGAGAGGGUGAUCGGCCACAUUGGGACUGAGACACGGCCCAAACUCCUACGGGAGGCAGCAGUAGGGAAUCUUCCGCAAUGGACGCAAGUCUGACGGAGCAACGCCGCGUGAGUGAAGAAGGUUUUCGGAUCGUAAAACUCUGUUGUUAGAGAAGAACAAGUGCUAGAGUAACUGUUAGCGCCUUGACGGUAUCUAACCAGAAAGCCACGGCUAACUACGUGCCAGCAGCCGCGGUAAUACGUAGGUGGCAAGCGUUGUCCGGAUUUAUUGGGCGUAAAGCGAGCGCAGGCGGUUCCUUAAGUCUGAUGUGAAGCCCCCGGCUCAACCGGGGAGGGUCAUUGGAAACUGGGGAAACUUGAGUGCAGAAGAGGAGAGUGGAUUCCAUGUGUAGCGGUGAAAUGCGUAGAUAUAUGGAGGAACACCAGUGGCGAAGGCGACUCUCUGGUC
rnacentral:rRNA from 1 species